rnacentral:rRNA from 1 species
GACGAACGCUGGCGGCGUGCCUAAUACAUGCAAGUCGAACGCAGUGGGGACGGGUGAGUAACACGUGGGUAACCUCCCAUCAGAGGGGAUAACACUUGGAAACAGGUGCUAAACCGAUACUGAUGGAUGGACCCGCGGUGCAUUAGCUAGUUGGUGAGGUAACGGCUCACCAAGGCCACGAUGCAUAGCCGACCUGGGAGGUGUAUCGGCCACACUGGGACUGGGACACGGCCCAGGCUCCUACGGGAGGCAGCAGUAGGGAAUCUUCGGCAAUGGGCGGAAGUCUGUGCGAACAACGGCGCGUGAGUGAAGAAGGUUUUCGGAUCGUAGAGCUCUGUUGUUAGAGGAGCGGUAACGAACCAGAAAGGGACGGCUAACUACGUGCCAGCAGCCGCGGUAAUUC